AUUGAACGCUGGCGGCAUGCCUUACACAUGCAAGUCGAACGGUAACAGGUCUUCGGAUGCUGACGAGUGGCGAACGGAUGAGUAAUACAUCGGAACGUGCCUAGUAGUGGGGGAUAACUACUCGAAAGAGUGGCUAAUACCGCAUGAGAUCUACGGAUGAAAGCAGGGGAUCGCAAGACCUUGUGCUACUAGAGCGGCCGAUGGCAGAUUUGGUAGUUGGUGGGAUAAAAGCUUACCAAGCCGACGAUCUGUAGCUGGUCUGAGAGGACGAUCAGCCACACUGGGACUGAGACACGGCCCAGACUCCUACGGGAGGCAGCAGUGGGGAAUUUUGGACAAUGGGCGAAAGCCUGAUCCAGCAAUGCCGCGUGCAGGAUGAAGGCCUUCGGGUUGUAAACUGCUUUUGUACGGAACGAAAAGCCCUGGGUUAAUACCCUGGGGUCAUGACGGUACCGUAAGAAUAAGCACCGGCUAACUACGUGCCAGCAGCCGCCGUAA
rnacentral:rRNA from 1 species